GCCUGACGUGGUGGCGGGUGCCUGUAAUCGCAGCUACUUAGGAGGCUGAGGCAGGAGAAUCACUUGAACUCAGGAGGUGGAGGUUGCAGUGAGCUGACAUGGUGCCACUGAACUCCAGCCUGGGAGACAAGAGUGAAACUCCAACUCAAAAAAAUAAAUAAAUAAAAGAUAGAUAGAUAGAUAGCGACCUGCCGGGAGCAGGGGAUCAUCAGGUUUCCUAAGCAGGGGUGAACUGCCCCAGGAUGGAAAUGAAACAGGUCAAAACUCCUGUGUUGAUCAAUAGUGGGAGAGCACCUAUGAAUAAACACUGCACUCCAGCCUGGGCAACAUAGUGAGACCCUAUCUCUA
ensembl:misc_RNA Metazoa_SRP Metazoan signal recognition particle RNA